CCAUGCAGGCCCCGGGGGAGAAACGGGUGGUGCUACAAGCUGUCAGGGCGAAGCAGGACCCAGGUGCCGCUUCGGAAGCAGGGUGCACUGUUUUUCACCUGAACAGGGUUGGAGAAUAAAGGAGACAGGGACUCCUCCACCCACUCCACCCAAGGAGGGGGCCCACCCCCUCCAUGUGAGGACCGAGAUCUUCCUGCAGUCCUCCCGGCCAGCUGCCUUCGUGGCAAGUGGGGCUGUGCAUGGGCCGUCCAACCUCACCAUGAGCUUCUUGUCCCCUUCCAUCCAGAUUGUCCCUGCUGUGGGGAGUUGGUGUGAUCUUGGAAUUCAAGAGGCCUGAAGUCUAGUCCCCACUUGGCCAUAGACGCCAUGCCCUGGAAGCAAGCCCCUGAAUUUCUCGGAAUUUCUUCCCAUGUCCACUGCACAGAACAGCAUUCCUUCCAUCAUCUACACCAUGGAGGUGGCACAGCCUUUGAAAGAAGAGUGCUUGAUGGCACUUAGCAUAUGCCUCAGCAGUGCAGUAAGUGCUUUGCUUGUUCACUGGGUUUAGUUACAGCCAGGUGACCCAGGGCUCCAGGUUAUAACAGCUGCAGCCCCUCCCUGGGUGGCCU
rnacentral:lncRNA from 12 species